GACGAACGCUGGCGGCGUGCUUAACACAUGCCAGUCGAACGGAAAGGCCCUGCUUUUGUGGGGUGCUCGAGUGGCGAACGGGUGAGUAACACGUGAGUAACCUGCCCUUGACUUUGGGAUAACUUCAGGAAACUGGGGCUAAUACCGGAUAGGAGCUCCUGCUGCAUGGUGGGGGUUGGAAAGUUUCGGCGGUUGGGGAUGGACUCGCGGCUUAUCAGCUUGUUGGUGGGGUAGUGGCUUACCAAGGCUUUGACGGGUAGCCGGCCUGAGAGGGUGACCGGCCACCUUGGGCCUGAGAUACGGACCAGACUCCUACGGGAGGCAGCAGUGGGGAAUAUUGCACAAUGGGCGGAAGCCUGAUGCAGCAGCGCCGCGUGCGGGAUGCCGGCCUUCGGGUUGUAAACCGCUUUCGCCUGUGACGAAGCGUGAGUGACGGUAAUGGGUAAAGAAGCACCGGCUAACUACGUG
rnacentral:rRNA from 1 species